ACCUUUUCGCCCAACCCCUCUGCUUAUGUCUAUCGGAAUGCGUACACUCUCUGCAACUCAACUCUUCUUUUCUCUUUCCAGUUUCCAGUUCCUCCCUGCCAUGGCUUCUUCAAGGACUUCAGAGGAAGAGACCCAAUUGGAGAAUCGCCCGCGUCUCCACCACCGCACACCAAAAGAAAUCGAUCGCCAACGCACGCAGAGAUCACCGAACAAGUUAGUUUAUCAGAUGUACGAAUCACUCUUUCCUUCUGUUUGAAGAGCGAUAAGUGGAUGCAAUGCCACGAGUGAUGGUACGAAAGUCGAAGAUGUGUAGUGACACGAGUCGUUAAGGAAUAAGCGAGUGUACCAUGUUAUGUUGUAGUAUGGACAUUUCAAGUAUCAUGUACGUUUUAAAUUAUCUUUAGAAGCUUAUGUAUUAACUUUGUAAUAAGUGUUAUGUUCAGUCAUCUAUGUAUGAAAUGCUAUGAUCAUGUUCGAUUUCA